UGAACUUAAAGGCAAAGUAAUCAACUUAAACAUAAUUCGCCAGUUGCUGCUUCAGAGAGCCGCUCGCCUCCGUUAUUUCUGGUAAUUUUUUACAGAAAACGCUCCACGGGGCGCACAGCAUUUGCUGAGAAGAAGCUUAUUUGCCCUCGACCUGCUUCGUAUCUGAUAUCUAUGUGACUGAUUUUUGAGAGAUCAGACAAAAGUCACGUUAUUGACCAAAAUAUCACAGUUCUUUGGUUGUUUUUUGCUAGAAGUAUAGCCUUUAGCGGAUGCAUUGUAUCUUAUGACGAUGAUGUGUUGUAACCGUACGGAAACUAUGACGUCAUUGCUGUGUAUGGGCAACCCCAGCAGCUCCGCAAGCAGACACUGCUUCCUCCUGUCUUCCAGAUGCUGCUGACCAAGUUGCCCACCAUCAGACAGAUAAGGAUGCUCUCCAAUAGGAAGCAAGAUGUCUUGAUACACUGACCCCCCCCUUUCUUCCAAUGGUCUGCACUGGCUACUCCCCUUCAUGGAAUGGAUUAAAGAGCAAUGGAUUUGCACAUUUGGAGGUUCUGGCUGAUGACCUGUCUCCAUAGCUGAUAGAAACCGAGAAGGAAUAUCAUCCCCAAUGAUACUGCUAAUAUUAGUAACUGUACUGAUGAGGAAUAGGAGGGCAGGCUGAUCCAUUGUCCUUGAACUGCUUGAAGUGUUCAGUCAAAAUGAUAGUGCCACUUUGUUACCACGUGUUCAAUAAGAUGUUCUGCAAAAAAUAAUAACAAUACUGAGAUGUUCUUGCUCUUCAAUGAGGUUCUGACAAUCAGAUGUUGGAAACCAUUAUAAAGGAAACCUACAGUAGUUGAACACUUUGUGUAGAUAGUAACCUGUUUCUUGAACACAAGUGAUUCUAAGAACAAGAAUAACUGUUACCUGUAGGACAAUGUCUCUAUCACAGGUCACCAAGGAUACAGAAAGGUAUAUCCUUAAUAAAAUGUUUUUAUGGUUAAUUGUGCAUGCCUCUCAUUUAGACUCAUCAGACCAAAGGACAGAUUUCCACCGGUCUAAUAUCCAUUGCUUGUGUUUAUUGGCCCAAGCAA